CUCCAGCUCUCAAUCUCUCCAUCAAAACCCUAGAAAAAAUGGACGCCAAUCGCCAAAUCCCAGAAAACCCAGAAUCCAAAUCGCCUGAGGAACAAAACCCACUUGCCAUUGUGCCUUCCGCCGCCGGGCUUUCUCCCUUCGCCACCGCCUCCCUCUCACUUUCUCUCUCUACAAUUCUCCCCACCCACUUCUUCCAACAACCCAAGGUUUCCACCUUGUUUUCUUCCCAGCCCACCAAGGUCAAGGUCCCCACGCAGGCCUCGUCCCUGGCCCACCUCUCUCUCUCAACCACCGCCAAUGUAACUCCGCCCAAGCUCUCCUUCAAG
rnacentral:lncRNA from 1 species